CGGAUCUUGUUACAAAUGAGAGGAAUGCAACAAGGAAGAGAUAUCAGGCAUGACUCCAGAUCAGUGUCCCAUGUAACUGGGUGUGAAGGAACAAGGCCUAAAACUCUUCUUUUUGUAUAUAAGAUUUUAUGUUGUAAAUUGCUCUGCUAUUCACUAUUAAGAAAGUUGUGCAAGGGUCAAAAGUUCAUAGCUCCUGCUCAGGAGUUUCAAUUUUAAAGGUGAUGAAAUGUACUGGUUUGGGUUUGGAGGGAAGGGGAGGUUUGAUUGUAUUGGUUAUGUUUUGAAAAAUGGUUUGGAAAAAUGCGAGGAAAGUUUAAAUAUAUAAAGAGGCUGCUUUCAGGAGAGAAGUAGUACAUGUUUGGUGCUGGAAAAGAAGAGCCCAUGUGCAGUAUAAGCUGGAGUGCUGGAAAAAGAGUCCAGAAGACUGCAAUUCAAGUUGGAAGAAGUGCAGAACUGAAGAGUCCAAGUGAAGCAAGUGCUGGCACAGUAAGAGAGAAUCAGAGCUGGGGUUAGAAAGAGCUGAGAAAUCAUGGCAGAGACUGGAAACACUCUGGAGAGCUCAAUCACUCACCAGCAAGAAGAAACAGUCUGGGGCUGAACCCUCAGAACUGUGAAGGAGAGCAGGACCUGAGGCUGAACAAGAGACAAGCCCAGUUUCCUGGGAAAGCUGCAGUGACUGCAGAGGACUCUGAGUAAGGCUCAGUGUUAGUAAGGUCAGUUUGGAUGUGUUUUAAUCACACUUUAUAUCUUCCUUAUGCUCAUUUGUUUGCUGUUUUGGUGCUAAACUUUUCAAAGAAACGAUUAGUUUAAAUUGAGCUAUUUUGUUUAAGUAAAAAUUCUUGUUUGUAUCUGUAGCUUCAGUCUGUUUUCUCCACAUCACACCUAGAGCCUUUACCAUUCUACUAAAGGUUUUUGUUUUGUUUUGGAUACGACAGAAGUUUGGAAGGCUGUUGAAGUAGGCUCAGCCAGAGAAAGCCUAAAAGUCUACUUGGUGCCAGCAGUUAAGCGUAGAAGUCAUGGGGGUGAUUGAGACCAGGCUGUGACAAGUGGUAUCAGCAUGGUGUGAUCCAGCCGUGGCUGGUGCAGUUGCCGCUGGAGGGGUAGCAGGAGGAACCUUUAACUCUAAAUUACUAGGCGCUUACCUGUUUACAUUAUAAAAUCACAAAGAUUUCUGUUAACUCAAAAACGAGGCAAGGUUGCACUGAUGAACUUCAUUAAUGAGUAACUGCUUUCUGAUACUAAGAACAUUUCCCCACCUAUUAAAAAGCAAAAUCUGAAAAUAUUCUGUGAUCAAGUGAAAACCAUUUUUUUAAAAGAAGGUAAACAUUACUAACAGACAUAAUUCUUCAAAGUGACAAGAAAUUCUUUUCAAGACUUAGUAAUUGGCAAAAGUGGGAAAACUUUUGAGAGAAAUCUUGUCAUAACCUUUGGGAACCAUUGCAUAUCUUCUUGCUAGUAUUGAUGGUACUCUGGCAAAAAUCAACAAAUCAGCUCUUGGUCUUCUUCUGUCCCAAAGUAAAGACUGCCUUAAUGACAAUGUGACAGAAAAAAGAUGCAAUAAUAUUUGAUGGAAUGGCCAUCAUCCAAGAAUUGCAUGCUAUUCCUUCAAGAUUUGGCGAGUUUGCAAAUACCAAUUUAUUGCACGAUUAAAGUACAAAUGAACUCGUUUGGAUUUUGUCACAGAUCAGUAUCCCGAUGUAAGCAUAAAGAAUGGGAUGGUUCUGCCAGGCAGCAUAUGGUUCACAAACUAUAAAAAUAUUAGGGAGGGAGAAAACAUCCCCUACUCAGUGGAGAAUAAUCUGAAGGCAAGAUGCCCUUCAGAAAUUAUGUGGAGGGGUGAACGUUUACAAACUACAAGUGAGAACCUUGCCCCAGAGUCGCCGUCCUCCCCUCCAGACCCCUACUUCCUUCUCUCCUGGGAGCCACACCAUUAACCAUCUCUCCUCAACAGUCUCUUCCACAACCUAGCAAUACAGACAAGCAUCUACAAAUCCACUUGCCAGUGGCAAGUGCCCCCAACCCUGUGGUGAGCAGGAAAUCCAGCAUCACCUGGAUCUCUUUCCCAGAGGUCUAAUUUCCACUGCCAUUUUUUUUUAGAAGGCAAGAAACAUCAGGAAUCUUUUCUGAGCAGCAGGAGAUGGCUCCCACUGUUUCUUACUAUCUCCAUAUCCCAGUGCAAAUGACAGAUCUGCUUCUCUUCUGCCUGUGUGCCAGAAAAGGAUCUAAAGGAAGAGAGAAGAUUGGUGGGGAUCACGAAUAAUGGCUGGCGAGUGAGCUACAUCUAACUUUGUGGGUCCCUGCAUAUAUUGUGUGGCAUUUUGUGCUGGCUCUCCAGAUCCUUGCUGGAAAGAGGCACCACCACAGUCACUACGGCAACCAGGCCACUGCUUAUCCAAGUGUGGGCCUAGGCCUCAGUUUUAGGGUAGGACAGUACAACUUCUUUGUCUUUUUUCUUCCCUUCGCUGCCAACAGGAUGCAGUGGGGUGUCAAGUGAGUUGUCCAGGGCACCACCAGGUUUUGUUUUGUUAGCUGAGUCCAUGCUGAAUGGCCAUGAUGCAAGCUUUUGUUUUCUGAACUGCAACUUAAAACUGAAGACCUACCAAGCCUCCUGUCUAAACACCUGACAGCUUUGAAAGAACGACGGCAGUCCGGGCUGCGGAUGUACCCCACAGGCUACCAAGGAGGCAGAUGGGAACAAGGACAGUGCUUACCCUUCAGCUUGCUGUCGGCAUUCUCUCCUGCAUCACGGAUCUCUCUCUGC